rnacentral:rRNA from 1 species
CGUGUGUUAGUGGAACGGUCUGGAAAGUCCGGCGGUACAGGGUGAUAGCCCCGUACACUAAAAUGCACACGUUGUGAACUCGAAGAGUAGGGCGGGACACGUGGUAUCCUGUCUGAAUAUGGGGGGACCAUCCUCCAAGGCUAAAUACUCCUGACUGACCGAUAGUGAACCAGUACCGUGAGGGAAAGGCGAAAAGAACCCCGGCGAGGGGAGUGAAAAAGAACCUGAAACCGUGUACGUACAAGCAGUGGGAGCCUACUUGUUAGGUGACUGCGUACCUUUUGUAUAAUGGGUCAGCGACUUAUAUUCUGUAGCAAGGUUAACCGUAUAGGGGAGCCGCAGGGAAACCGAGUCUUAACUGGGCGUUAAGUUGCAGGGUAUAGACCCGAAACCCGGUGAUCUAGCCAUGGGCAGGUUGAAGGUUGGGUAACACUAACUGGAGGACCGAACCGACUAAUGUUGAAAAAUUAGCGGAUGACUUGUGGCUGGGGGUGAAAGGCCAAUCAAACCGGGAGAUAGCUGGUUCUCCCCGAAAGCUAUUUAGGUAGCGCCUCGUGAACUCAUCUUCGGGGGUAGAGCACUGUUUCGGCUAGGGGGUCAUCCCGACUUACCAACCCGAUGCAAACUACGAAUACCGAAGAAUGUUAUCACGGGAGACACACGGCGGGUGCUAACGUCCGUCGUGAAGAGGGAAACAACCCAGACCGCCAGCUAAGGUCCCAAAGUCAUGGUUAAGUGGGAAACGAUGUGGGAAGGCACAGACAGCCAGGAUGUUGGCUUAGAAGCAGCCAUCAUUUAAAGAAAGCGUAAUAGCUCACUGGUCGAGUCGGCCUGCGCGGAAGAUGUAACGGGGCUAAACCAUG